CUUGCGACCAUCGCCAUCGCCGUGCUGUAGCGAAAGAAAAAAAACCGCCGCAAAACAGUCAAGACGGAGGCGCGCGCGUUUUUUCCGUAAAAAAUACCACAAAAAUAUAAAUAAAAUCAAGAAAAACGCCGCCAAAACACACACAAAAAAUAAAUAAAAUUAGUGUUAUCUGCAAAAGUGCCCCUAAAAUCCCCUGCUGCCAGCAACACCCCCCAUCUAUAAAAGUGUAUCUGUGUGUGUGCGCGAGUGUUUGUGAGUGUGUGAAAAAUGCAUUAAUUACAGCAAUUCCAAGGCGAAAGAGCUACAGCAAAAAAAAAUACCAGCAAAUAAAAUACCACAGCAAAUACAAUCAAAUACAAACAAAAACAAAAAAGGAAAAAGCAAAUAUAUAAAAAUACCAACAAAUAAUGCAAUUUUUUUGUUGUUUUCUCAAUACAAAAAUAAUUUUUUGUGAUGCUUUUUCUGUUGAAUGAAAUUCGUAGAAAAGCCGCAAUAAAAAAUCCCCCCAAUUUGUUGUGUCUCCAAACGAGUAAUAGUAUAUAAUAAAUAACAUAUAAACGGUAAUAUUUGGACUCGCGAUUCGGUUCGGGAUCGUUGGGCCAUAGCUUAGGAGCCCCCACCGUUAAAGAACUGUACCGGUCGAUCGUUACGUCGCUUCUUUGGAGGUUUUUCGAAAAAAUACCAGCAAACAAAUACAACCAGGAAAAUGCGUAAAUUUCGAAAACAGUCCAAAACGGGUGUACAAUAAGCCGACAAAAAACAGGAUCCCUUAGCAGUUAAGGAACACCUCAUCAAUGGUCUCUCACUUCAAUUGUGCAAAUCCUCCAU